rnacentral:rRNA from 1 species
UACAGAGGUCCCAAGCGUUGUUCGGAUUCAUUGGGCGUAAAGGGUGCGUAGGCGGCGCGGUAAGUCGGGUGUGAAAACCCGGGGCUCAACCCCGGGCCUGCAUUCGAUACGGGCAGACUAGAGUUCGGUAGGGGAGUCUGGAAUUCCUGGUGUAGCGGUGAAAUGCGCAGAUAUCAGGAGGAACACCAACAGCGAAGGCAGAUCUCUGGGACGUAACUGACGCUGAGACGCGAAAGCGUGGGGAGCAAACAGG